rnacentral:rRNA from 1 species
UACGGGGGGGGCAAGCGUUGUUCGGAAUUACUGGGCGUAAAGGGCUCGUAGGCGGCCAACUAAGUCAGACGUGAAAUCCCCAGGCUUAACCUGGGAACUGCGUCUGAUACUGGAUGGCUUGAGUAUGGGAGAGGGAUGUAGAAUUCCAGGUGUAGCGGUGAAAUGCGUAGAUAUCUGGAGGAAUACCGGUGGCGAAGGCGGCAUCCUGGACCAUUACUGACGCUGAGGCGCGAAAGCUAGGGGAGCAAACGGG